rnacentral:rRNA from 1 species
UACGUAGGGGGCAAGCGUUAUCCGGAUUUACUGGGCGUAAAGGGAGCGUAGACGGUGAAGUAAGUCUGGAGUGAAAACCCAGGGCUCAACCCUGGGACUGCUUUGGAAACUGGUUUGCUAGAGUAUCGGAGAGGUAAGUGGAAUUCCUAGUGUAGCGGUGAAAUGCGUAGAUAUUAGGAGGAACACCAGUGGCGAAGGCGGCUUACUGGACGGUAACUGACGUUGAGGCUCGAAAGCGUGGGGAGCAAACAGG